GAUGAACGCUGGCGGCGUGCCUAAUACAUGCAAGUCGAGCGAACAGACGAGGAGCUUGCUCCUCUGACGUUAGCGGCGGACGGGUGAGUAACACGUGGAUAACCUACCUAUAAGACUGGGAUAACUUCGGGAAACCGGAGCUAAUACUGGAUAAUAUAUUGAACCGCAUGGUUCAAUAGUGAAAGACGGUUUUGCUGUCACUUAUAGAUGGAUCCGCGCCGCAUUAGCUAGUUGGUAAGGUAACGGCUUACCAAGGCAACGAUGCGUAGCCGACCUGAGAGGGUGAUCGGCCACACUGGAACUGAGACACGGUCCAGACUCCUACGGGAGGCAGCAGUGGGGAAUCUUCCGCAAUGGGCGAAAGCCUGACGGAGCAAUGCCGCGUGAGUGAUGAAGGUCUUCGGAUCGUAAAACUCUGUUAUUAGGGAAGAACAAAUGUGUAAGUAACUAUGCACGUCUUGACGGUACCUAAUCAGAAAGCCACGGCUAACUACGUG
rnacentral:rRNA from 1 species